UACGAAGGGGGCUAGCGUUGUUCGGAAUUACUGGGCGUAAAGGGCGCGUAGGCGGUGUGUCGCGUCGGCCGUGAAAACCUGGGGCUUAACUCUGGGCGUGCGGUCGAUACGGGCAUCACUAGAGUUCGGCAGGGGAGACUGGAAUUCCUGGUGUAGCGGUGAAAUGCGCAGAUAUCAGGAGGAACACCGGUGGCGAAGGCGGGUCUCUGGGCCGAUACUGACGCUGAGGAGCGAAAGCAUGGGUAGCGAACAGG
rnacentral:rRNA from 1 species